CCUUGCGAAAGUAAGACUAAUACCCUAUGAAGUUCUUCGCAGGCAUCUAAAGAGACGAAAGAUCCGUCGCUUGCGGAUGGGGAUGCGUCUGAUUAGUUAGUCGGCGGGGUAACGGCCCACCGAGACGACGAUCAUAGGGGUUCUGAGAGGAAAGUCCCCCACAUUGGAACUGAGACACGGUCCAAACUCCUACGGGAGGCAGCAGUGAGGAAUAUUGGUCAAUGGGCGGAAGCCUGAACCAGCCAAGUAGCGUGCAGGACGACGGCCCUAUGGGUUGUAAACUGCUUUUAUGCGGGGAUAAAGUGGGCCACGUGUGGCCUUUGCAGGUACCGCAUGAAUAAGGACCGGCUAAUUCCGUG
rnacentral:rRNA from 1 species